UACGGGGGGAGCAAGCGUUGUUCGGAUUUACUGGGCGUAAAGGGCGCGUAGGCGGCGCGGUAAGUCACUUGUGAAAUCUCUGAGCUUAACUCAGAACGGCCAAGUGAUACUGCAGUGCUAGAGUGUGGAAGGGGCAAUCGGAAUUCUUGGUGUAGCGGUGAAAUGCGUAGAUAUCAAGAGGAACACCUGAGGUGAAGACGGGUUGCUGGGCCAACACUGACGCUGGUGCGCGAAAGCCAGGGGAGCAAACGGG
rnacentral:rRNA from 1 species